UUUACAAUAGUUGAGGGUCGUGGGUGAGCCUAUAGUUGCUGGCUAUAGGCAAGCUCUGCGUCCUGAAGCUCUGUUCCAUUCAUGUUACAAAGC